GGCGAGAUGGCCGAGUGGUCUAAGGCGCUAGUUUCAGGUGGACUCCCACUUACUAGUCAGAAAUGGCGUGGGUUCGAAUCCCACUCUCGUCA
rnacentral:tRNA from 1 species